CUUGGUUGAGACUGUCCGUCGCACAGGAGAGAGUGCACAGCAAGAGGGGAGAACGGGAGAGAGAAAAAGACGAUCAGAAGUAGAAAAUCAUAAUCAUUAAUUUAAGCAGUGAACUUAAAGAGCAGCUCCUUAAAUGACCCAGGGACCAAAUAUUUUCCAGAUCGCACACUUCAUUUUCUUUCCUUGGGAUCUUGGCGAGUUUAAAUAUUACAUUUUUACCAAAGUAUCGUAACUGUAGCAGCAACACGUGUGCUAUUAACUCCGUGUUCCUUGAAAAUAGCGUUAGCCACACGUGGCACGUAAUAUUUUUCAGUUUGCACACUUCCGUUUCUUCCUUUGGGAUCUCGGCUGGGUUUUUUGGAUACCCUAGAAGAAACCUGUGAACCUAGGAUUCUCUCCCUGACGAGGGAGAUGGCGAGCCGACCAAUUUGACCAACUUGAUUCAUCUUCAUCCACUUGAGGAAGGACCCCCUGAUACCCCUUGUUUCUCCCAGCCCCACUCUGGUGUGGUAGGAUUGUGAUUGAGAAAUUACAUAAUUUUAUUUGAUACUUUAUUUU